AGUGAACGCUGGCGGUAGGCCUAACACAUGCAAGUCGAACGGCAGCACAGUAAGAGCUUGCUCUUACGGGUGGCGAGUGGCGGACGGGUGAGGAAUACAUCGGAAUCUACUUUUUCGUGGGGGAUAACGUAGGGAAACUUACGCUAAUACCGCAUACGACCUACGGGUGAAAGCAGGGGGUCUUCGGACCUUGCGCGAUUGAAUGAGCCGAUGUCGGAUUAGCUAGUUGGCGGGGUAAAGGCCCACCAAGGCGACGAUCCGUAGCUGGUCUGAGAGGAUGAUCAGCCGCACUGGAACUGAGGCACGGUCCAGACUCCUACGGGAGGCAGCAGUGGGGAAUAUUGGACAAUGGGCGCAAGCCUGAUCCAGCCAUACCGCGUGGGUGAAGAAGGCCUUCGGGUUGUAAAGCCCUUUUGUUGGGAAAGAAAAGCAGCAGGUUAAUACCCCGCUGUUCUGACGGUACCCAAAGAAUAAGCACCGGCUAACUUCGUG
rnacentral:rRNA from 1 species